ACAGUAAUCAUAUAAAAGUGGACAUUUAUGUAAAUGUUUGUGUCUAAAGUCACUUCCCAUUGGCGUCGGCGGUACGGGACCUCUCAAAACUGCGGCCAAGAUUCACGUUUUCCAUCCCAUACCCAAUUUUGAAUGUGUGUUUAUUUCGUGUUUUUUUAAGUACAGUACAGUAUAUUAAUAACUUUAAGCUUCGUUUUCAAAACAUAAUGUCAUUGUUUAUUAAUUGUGAUUCUUUACAAAUGCUGUAGUACAACUUUUUAUACCUUUUUCUGCUUGUAUGUUUCAAUUCAGUUCAUGAAACUUUUAUUUGCAUAGUUUUGAAGAAGACUACAGUACCUAGUACUUAUAUUGAAUGUUUGCAUAUCAACAGUGCAGUACUUUAUCUUAAGUAAUAUUUUCAGGUACUUUCUCCAUCACUGCCUAAAGUGGACCUGAUGUGAACUAGAAUGAAGUUGGCUGGAUAUAAAGUUAACUGGACCUGAAGCUAACUGGACCUGAAGCUAACUGGACCUCAAGUAGUCUGUGAAGAAGUCGCCUCGGGCAACGGCAGCGGAAGCGCGAUCCGGGAGACGGACACGAAGAACGACCGUGGAUCGCCGCUCCGGAGACGGGUCGGCGAGUGCCGCUCUCCGACGUAAGACGAUCGUCGAGAAUAUCUCACGGGUCGGAGUCGCCCGACGGGAGUCGGAAACGUCAUUUCUGUGCGGACCGGCGACUCGACGGAAUCCGGCCGAGGACGCCGCUCGAAACGCGGGAGUCGCGGUUGCGGACGAGAGCGCCGACACGAGUCCGAGACGGAUCGUACGGUCGGCACGUCGGAGCGGUUUGGAUGAAGACAUUCGGGAACUGAGGACGAAGACGCUCGUCGAUCGCGGACGAAGACGCCGGUCGACGCGCGAGGAAGAUGCUCCGGAACACGGGAAGAAUACCACACUCGCGAUUGCGGGAAGAUACUCGUCAACUCAGAAGAGGAUGCGCAUCACUAUUGUAUAGCGACGGUUUUAAAGACGAUGUAAUGUGUAAAAUGAAUGCAUGUGUUGUUUGUAACGAUUGUUAUAAUGUUUGUAGUAUCGUUUUUAGAGACCGACUCCGCGAAGACGGAGGAAGUCGAUACGUGUCGAGAAUGAAUUUAUUGAAGAUGAUCAUCGUAGACAUGUUGCAAAUAGAUUGUAAAAAGUCACGCGUGGAGGGACAAACUCCGUAAAUAACGGCAGCGUAAAUACGAGACGACUCGGCGGCGGGGACGCGCGCCUCUCGAAAGUAAAAGAACGGGGGAGAUUGGACCGACAUAGACGGUGUUGUUGAGGUAACUGAUAAGAAUGGAGAAAUGAUGACUAUUUGGUGGGGUUUUUUUAGGACAGAGAGAGUAGUUAUAUAUUAGUAAAGAUAUAAAGUAAAAGGGGAUAAGGACGGCGGUGGGGUACAAGGAACGACACACUCUGUAGGGCAUUAAAGGAAUUGACGUGCGACUACCGAGUCGGCGUAAUUGUGAAAAAGAGAUGCGAGGGGGAUUUUGAAGAGAAGAAGAAGAAGUCGCGUGGUAGAGGAAUUGCGGGGAAAUUGGCGGAAGCGACGAUCGGUUACGGGAGAGGAUUUAACGAAUAACAUUUCGAUGCGGGACGGGAGACGACGAAUUUAGGGAAUGCCGGUUUAGGAUAGGGUCGUACGUAAAGCGGAGGGUGCGGGCGUCUGCGGAUACGGACGACGGAGAAUAGACGGGAAUGUGCAUCGAGACGAGGCGGUGGAGAAACGAAAGUGUCGGAGGUACCGCAGGGAAGUAUACCCGCGAGAUGUGUAAAGAAUGGUUUGGAAGUAGAGUUAGGUGAGAGUCAUGUGUUUGAAAUGGCGGGAAGGUUUGACAGGUGUAUUGGUUUUACGUAAUUGUGGCAGUCGGUUUGAGAGCGGGCAGCUGUGGAAUGCGCGCGGGUACCUAUUUUGAGACCGCGACAUCUACCGGUAAGGAAAUAUGCGAUGCAGCAGUAAUAUAUUUUUGGUUAAUAGUAGUUUCAUUUAUUUGGCAAGAAUUUUUACUCGUUCACCUGUACUCCGUGUUGCUCCACUCGUGUUAAGGCGUUUAUUGUGAAGGCGUCUGUAUAAUAAUAAAAUUUGGAGGACGAGUAGGAUAAGUGGAAGGGGAAGGAAUACGAGCACAAUGUUGAAUGUGUAAGCCCUCCCUUUUUUUGUCUUUUCCCUCUGCCUCCCUGUCCUCCUCCUCCUCUUCCUCCUGCUCCUCCUCUUUUGAUGUGUUCCUCGUUUCUUUGUUCGUCGAGUGGUUUCUUCUCCCUCCGUUUCAUUGUGACUCCCUUCGUCUUUCUCCCCUGUACCUGCUUCUGUCCCUCCUCUUCUUCCUGUUUCCUUCUUUUACUCCUCCUCUUUGUUCCCCCCCCCCUCCUCCUCCUCUUCGCCUUAUGUCUUCCUCGUUUCCAUGUUUAUUCUUUUGCUUGUUGUUCCUCUGUUCCUCCUCCUCCUCCUCCUCCUCUGUUUGAUUGUGAUUCCCUUUUUGUUUCUCACCCUCCCAUUCCUCUUGAUCCUGUUUGUUUUUUGUUGCUUUCUUUUCCUUUGUUGGUUGUUUUUGUGUCCCUGUAUACGUUUGUUGUUACCAAUUGAAUUUGUGGUUGUAUUACUGCUGCUGUGUGUAUGUUGGAUUGUAUUUAUUUGUGUUGUUAUAAAUAUGUUGUGAGUGUGAAUUAGAUAUAUUGUGUUGAUAUUUGACUAAAUUUUGUUGUUAAGAAGAGGAGGAGUUCUAUUUAGAUUUGGAAAGUAAUUGUCAUCGAGGACGAGAAUGCACGUACCGUCUGUAGUUUGAAUAUGCGGUCGCGUCGGGUUUGGGCAGUUAUAUAUCGGGAAAUAGUUGAAUUUUGUAAGUUAAUGUUGUGGACUUGUGAAAUUGAUGAGCAUGAAAUUGUUUAUUGUGGAAUAGUUAUUGGUUUUAAUUUGAAGGGUGUCAAUUGCGCACCGGGAAUAUUUUGUCGGGACUUUCGCGUCGUCGGAAUCGACCGGAACGGCCGCAAUAAAUUGCGGGUGUCGCGGAGUUAUUUUUUGUCGUCGUAGAUCCGUCCGUGGAGUCGUAAAAAAUGUGGCGUCGUCGACGAAAGUCAAUCGUCUGCGGAUCGGUCGUCUUGGAAUCGACGGAAGUUAAGCGCUGACUUGCAAUACAGUUUUGACGUGCAAUUCGUCGCGUCCGUUUUAUUGCAGUCGAGUUACGUGUAGACUUGUAUAUGUUUGUUUGUAAUUGAUUGAAGUUAUUUGUAGUGUGAAAAAUGUUUUGAGUUGUUGUUGUUGUUGUUUGAUUAUAGUAUAGUCAUUUGUGCAGUUUGAAUCUAUUUUGGUUUGUGGAUUUGGAAAAUGUGUUGCAUGUAUGUGGAAUUUGAAUAAGUGAGAUAUUUUGUGGAUUUUGUAUAUUUUUCAUGUUCGUGGACCGAAAUGUCGUACAGGUCGUACCUCUCUAGUCGGGCAACCUCGGGACCGGAACGGUGCCGUAUCAUGGAAAUUCACCCUUUUCCUGGAUAGAUAGUGACUUGUGCUUAUGCUUGGAAGCACUAGCACCAGU